GAGGGGCUGCUGCUGGGGCCCGCCUUCUCCUGAGCGCUGUGCUUUGAGUUUGGAGCAGGUGACCAGGCCUGAGUCUCCCCGGCCGGGUGGCGAGACUCCCCGAGGACACCGAUGAAGAAAAUGAGACUCAGAAAGAGAAGGAUUUCUUCAGGGUCACAUGGUGAAUAUGUCACAGCCAGAACUAGAACUCAGGGCCCUUCACAAAUGGCUUGCUGGCCUUCCUGUUACACAUGGACCCCGAAGGCAUUCCGGUCUGGUCUUCUUCCAAGCUCCUGCGGAUCCUCCUAUCUUGAAUGUUCUUUCUCCAUCUACCCCACCAUGUCCCACCACCAUAUAUCCGAUGGUGUGCAAUCAUCAAGGUCCACCUUUGUCACCACUGCGAUUCCCGUGGAUCCUGCCUUCCUCGGGACUUCUCUAGAGCAGGCCUCAGCAAAAAUGUCACCUCCUCAGAGAAGCCCUCCAUGAUCGCCUGUCUAAAGGGGUCCCUACCCCUGCUUGCAGUCUCAUCCACUGUCAGCCAUGUGACUGAGCCACUUCAGACACCCGGCUCAGGCCUCGAGGUGGCCGUGGCUCUAGCUGAUGGCUCUAGCUGACUGUAAGGACAGGAGACUCCCACUGCGAACCACCCAGCAGAGCCUUGUCAGCUCACUGACCCGAGGGAGAAGUCCAGAGGCAGGCGUUCCAGGGCUGGUGUGCUGUCCCAGAGUAAUCAGAGACCCAGACUCCUUCUGCCUUCUUGCUCCACGAUUGUUAGUAGCUUUCAUCCCUAAGUUUGCCUCUGCUUCAAAAGGAUUGUUGGAGCUCCAGCCAUCACACCUGCAUUCCAGGCAAGGAAAAGAGGAAGAGAGAAGAGCAAAAACGUGCAUCCCAGCUUUCUAUUCUCCAAGAUAUCGUACCCAGUAACCUCUGCUCACAUUUCAUUGACCAGAAUUUCACUACUUGGGUGCAGGGGACUCUGGGAAAUGUGGUUUUUCGAGCUGGGUGCAUGGUCACCUGGACUUAAACAAGAGUUCUGUUUCUAAGGAAGAACAGGAGAAUGAAGUUUGGUGGGCACCUAGCAAUUUCUGCCUCACUUAGCGCGGCAGUCAAGGCCUUGAAUGAAUUUUCACACCAGCGAGCUCAUUCUGUUCCUUCUUCCUGCUCAGCAGGCAUGUCUUGCAGAUGGGUCAGCAGGGAAAGUCCAUUAUUUGGCCAUUAGGUUUGGCUGCCCUGACUGACAUGCACCUCCUGAACAAGCCCGAGCUUUCUGCCUUCCGGUGCAGCACUUCUGCUGCUUCCAAGGUAGCAUCUGGAAACCCACGUAAAGGGCAGAGCCGCUAAUGACUCUCACUCUGUUCCCCAGCGAGCAGAGCAGUCUCCAUCCCACUGCCCUGGAACUGCCCACUGAGAAGACGCUGAGUUUGCACACGCUUGCACGUGCAUACACACACCCCUCAAAGAAAGAAACCUAUUCUAGUGUUAGUACCUUCUCACCUGGAGCAGGAUACACAGUUUUCCUUACAGAUCCAAGAAGCAGCUACUGAGGACUACACAUGUUGCAGGCCAUAGAUGCCCUACGCUGGGCCCUUCCACGUACAGAUUUGGAUCUACGGGCCCCCAAGGCGGUCACAGUGUUCACCAGAUUUUGCAGAUGGGAAAAGGCGGAGCUGCAGGAGGCCAGGUGACACGCCAAGGUCCUGUGGCCAGGAAAACCUGUGUUCCACCCUGGUGACCACCUCCAGCAAUGAACUGUGAUGAAGUGACUUCUGAGGCUCGGUUGUAAAAGGUCAUCCAGCUUCUGCCCAGUUCUCUCUUUUGGGGCGUGCACCUAUGGAGCCCUGAGCCCCCAGGUAAGAUGUUUUAGUUACAUGGAAGACACCACGUUGGGAAGAGCAUGUGGCAAGACCGUGGAGAGAGAGAGAAGCUCAAGGAGCCUGAGCCACCACGGUGGCCCAGCAGAGCAGUGGACCUGAGAGGGAGUGAGCCUUCAGGGGGGCCCAGCCCCAUCGUCCAUGUGUCUCCCCCACCCGAAGCUGAAUGCAGCAGAAGAGCUCCCCGCCCAGCCCCACCAACACUCCAGCUUUAGAAGCAGAAGAAACAUGCGGCUGUUCUAAGCUCACUGAGUUUUAGGCUCUUUGUUACGCAGCUGUAACUGACUGAUACAGGGCAGGAGGA